AGGGAAUCUUCCGCAAUGGACGAAAGUCUGACGGAGCAACGCCGCGUGAGUGAUGAAGGCCUUCGGGUCGUAAAACUCUGUUGUCAGGGAAGAAUAAGUACCGGAGUAACUUCCGGUACCUUGACGGUACCUGACCAGAAAGCCACGGCUAACUACGUGCCAGCAGCCGCGGUAAUACGUAGGUGGCAAGCGUUGUCCGGAAUUAUUGGGCGUAAAGCGCGCGCAGGCGGUCCUUUAAGUCUGAUGUGAAAGCCCACGGCUCAACCGUGGAGGGUCAUUGGAAACUGGGGGACUUGAGUACAGAAGAGGAAAGCGGAAUUCCACGUGUAGCGGUGAAAUGCGUAGAGAUGUGGAGGAACACCAGUGGCGAAGGCGGCUUUCUGGUCUGUAACUGACGCUGAGGCGCGAAAGCGUGGGGAGCAAAC
rnacentral:rRNA from 1 species